rnacentral:lncRNA from 1 species
CUAUGUUGCAUGGGCUGGUCUCGAACUUCUGGCCUCGAGCGAUUGCCCUACUUCAGCCUCCCAAAGUGCUGGGAUUACAGGUGCGAGCCACCAUGUCCUGCCCGUUGCCAUUGACAGAUCUUUCUCUGUUUCCCAUAUUUGCUGAGGAGAAGCCACAAGCUCAAGCGGCUCCUACUGUUGUCCCAGGGAUGCUAGACAGGGUCUCCCUCCCGCCACUCUGUCAUCCAGGCUGGCGUGCAAUGGCGCCAUCACGACUCACUGCAGCUUCGACCUCCCGGGCUCAAGUGAUUCUCUCACCUCAGCCUCCCGAGUAGCUGGGACCACAGGUACACACCACCAUGUCCAGCUAAUUUUUGUAUAACUUUUCCAUAAUAAACAAAAAAAAAGGAUCUCAAUUGUGGAACAAUUUUAGGAAUCCUUUAUUUUACUUGUAUUUUCCUUUAUUGUUCGCAAUAAAUACACCCAUAAAAGCUCUUUCAGUAAAUAAGAAAUAAAAAUUCCAAGUGGUAAGGAAGCAUUGUUGCAUCUUAUAGACAGUAUACACUUUUCUUUCUUUGUAACAACCAUAAAAGUGGAGUUUCUUAGAGUCCAUGAAAUGCAGUAUCUAAAACAUUCCCCAGAAGGAAUAAUGCUAAUAAUAGCAACUGAUGGGCCAGACAUGGUGGCUCAUGCCUGUAAUUCCAGCACUUUGGGAGGCCGAGGCAUGUGGAUUACCUGAGGUCAGGAGAUCGAGACCAGCCUGGCCAACAUGGUGAAAUGCUGUUUCUACUACAAAUACAAAACUUAGCUCGUGUGGUGGCAGGCAUCUGUAAUCCCAGCUACUUGGGAGGCCAAGGCAGGAAAAUUGCUGGAACCCAGGAGGCAGAGGUUGCAGUGAGCUGAGAUCAUACUGCUGCACUCCAGCCUGGGCAACAGGGUAAGAU